CACCAUCCGACAGUCCUGUGCACACGUGUGUGUGCGCUCACACGUGUGUUUUGUGUGUCAGUGACUCAGAGUGACAGAGUGUUUCCAAGUUCCUAAGAAAGACCAUGCAGGAUGAUUGAUAUCUCUACUUCUGUUUUCUGAUGCAGUAUAAAAGGACCCAGUCUACCCGUGUCCACAUCGGAAACAAGAAAUCAGCAAGUCAGCCCCAACUGGUAACUGUUAUCCACAGGUGUCCCAGUACCACAGAGUUGGCGUUACAGAGCGAGACAGCCGCUAUCUGAAGAUGAGUGUGUUUUUCUUUGUCGGACAGGCGCUGCGCCUGAGUGUGCUAACCGUGAUCAUCCUCUCGUUGACGCUGGAAGCUUGUUCCCAGGAAAUUGUGCCUCAUGGUUGCUGUUUGAAGACAUCCUAUAAGCGUCCACAAAAACCAAUCACAAGCUGUAUUAUCCAGGAAGUCGGUUUAUGUAGGAUCCCUGCAUACAUUUUCAUCAAUGGGGGGCAACAGUCCUGCAUCAACCCCAAAGCAAAAUUCAUUACAAAGGUGAUACAGUCACUGAAAAAGAAUGGAACUACAUGUAUCCCGCUGUUACGUACAAGGUCAAUAUCGUAGUCCGGCAUCAUCAUCGGCAUCAUCAGAACUCUUUUGUAUUUCUAGUUAAUGUUACUAAAUAUUUAAAACUGUUGUCAACUAGUGAUAUUUAUUUAUUGUGAUACUCAUUUAAAUUAUCAAUUCAUAAUGGCGUUUUGAAUGCAUUUGUAUUUAUAUA